rnacentral:rRNA from 1 species
GUGGAGCUUAAACUAACACACAGCUUUUAUUUUUCUUCAAACUCCUGCUAAUUUCAUGAGCUUACAGAUAAUCCUAGUUUUGAAGACUAUGUCUAGUUUUGGUUCGGGGCAACCACGGAGAAAAACUAUCCUCCGUUAUUAAGCUUUAAAAAUUUUCCAAAGAGCUACAACUCUAAAAUUAUUACUUAUGAAAGUAUGAUCCGCUAAGGCGAUCAAAGGAACAAGUUACCGCAGGGAUAACAGCGUUAUCUUUUCUGAGAGUUCACAUUGACGAAAAGGUUUGCGACCUCGAUGUUGGAUCGGGACAUCCUAAGGGUGCAGAAGCUUUUAAGGGUUGGUCUGUUCGACCAUUAAAGUCCUACGUGAUCUGAGUUCAGACCGGCGAAAGCCAGGUCA